ACAAGGGAAAGUUCUCAGGCCCCCAGAUUCAGUACGGUCCCUAAACAUGCCUUUUUAAAAAUAGGCUGGAAGAGAGGAUGCCUGGAGCUGAAAUUCCAGGCAUUGGAGGGAGUGUAGCUGAUCUUAGAUUGGAACUAUUAAACCAGCAUGUAUAUAAUGUACUCCCUGGCCCCACCCCAGUAUCUUUCCUAUAAGCUUGGCCUGAGACCAGCCAAAACAGCAAGAAAAAAACAAUGAUGCCUUCUCUGCCACUGAGACAGGGCAAGCAGUCCAAAGGGGCAGAGGACACAUGUAUCAAGGAAGUUUCCAGUGCCAGCAACAGAUAAAGCCUUCCUCUUAGAGAAACUGCUGUAGGACUGAAAGACUUUGGUUACAAGCCUAUUCUCCAUUCACUUCCAGAUCAUUCUGCUGCGCCAGGCCAGGUGAUGUGGCUCUGGAGACGAACAGGACACCAGCCCCGCCCAUAAGAAGCAUGCAAUCCGCCUGCGCUGAAAACAGACCCUUGCCUUACAGAACAUUUUCAGGAAAUGAGCCUACCCACACAGCCAGCAUCCUGGUCACGACGGAACAUGAUCAGCAUUCCAGAAACUACGCCCCACUUCCAGCCAUCACCCUACCCAAGAGGAACCACUGCCCUGACUUCUGGGGGCCACUGCCUCCUCUGGGGGCAACCAGCCUUCCUCUGGGAUGGGAAGUCCUUUGGCUUUGGAGAGAAACAGAGCCAUAGAGGCAGACCCCUGCAGACAUGCCACGACCUCCUCUGGGGGCAACCAGCCUUCCUCUGGGAUGGGAAGUCCUUUGGCUUUAGAGGUAUCAUUCUGUAACUAGAGGAAAAACAAAUAAGAAAAGUCGUGUUUCCCAAAAGAAGGACUAUUUCCUUUAAAAAGACCAUCCGAGAGGAAAACAUCACUGUGUUCUUUGAAGAAAUAACCAUGGGUGGGGGCAAUUCUCCUAAAUGUCAGAUUUGCUCUCUCAACGUAUGGACAGUUCUUUUCUGCAAUAACAGUGUCAGCUAAUAUUUUCAAAGUGCUCACUGUGCGCCAGGCUCUCUGCUAAGGACCUUAUUUAUGUAACCAUCUGCAUUUUAUAUAUGAGAAUAAGGCUCAGAGAGAUGAGGUGACUUGCCUGGCAUUACACAGCUGGCUUGUGGCACAGCUAGGAUUCAAGCCUGAGAUGUGGACCCCUCAGUGCCUCUCAACCACCACCAGCCUCAGGCACCAGGCUGCCCUCAUAUGGGUCUACGCCUCCGGCACCCUCCUGCUUGGGCAUGAUGGAGUAAUGCAGAUGCAACCAUCUCCAGGGAAAAGUCCAGGACCAGCUCCAAGUGCCAAAACUCACCAUCUCAAACCUACCACCUGAGUGCCUAGCAAAGCUACAAUAGACUCUCAAAGUGAAGGCGAACUGGACGCCCCCAGCUGCUGAAAUCCCGAGGAAGCCAACUGCACGUCUCAACCAAGUCUGGAGUGCUUCCAAAAAUAAUCUGGAGUGAGGCUGAAGGGAAUUCAGCCAGCCCGGAGGCCUCGCAUUCUCUAGCCACCCCUUUCUGACCUCCAAAGCCCGUUGUAGAGCAAAUUGGAUUUUUAAUACCAUAAAUCAGGGAGGUAUUACAUGCACAGAGCUUCUUUGUUUCCUUUUUAAUUAAAUGUACUUCAGAGGGCACUGGGUUUUGUUUUGAUCAUCUCCACUGCUGGUCAUGGAAGUCCCUGGGCUGUUCCCAUUAGUAAUGGGACAUGGACUUGAGGGCCGCGUGGUGUCUUUUUGGUGUGGGGGUGGGGGGAGUGGAGGAUGCAGAAGGGAGGGUAUUUUAUGGUCUGAAGUGAUACAUUUGUCCCCUCAGACUCUUGGGCUCCAUCUAAGGUCGUGAUGGCUUUUUCUUUGUGGAGAGAAAUGAAGUGAGUCUUCUGAGUCCUUUGAAC